UCCCGGGUAACCUACCACCCUUUGUUUAUUACACUUUGUUGCUUUGGCAGGCCUGCCCUCGGGCUGCUGGCUCCGGCCGGCGAGCGCUUGCCAGAGGACCUAAACUCUGUUUGUCUAUAUCGUCUGAGUACUAUAUAAUAGUUAAAACUUUCAACAACGGAUCUCUUGGUUCUGGCAUCGAUGAAGAACGCAGCGAAAUGCGAUAAGUAAUGUGAAUUGCAGAAUUCAGUGAAUCAUCGAAUCUUUGAACGCACAUUGCGCCCCCUGGUAUUCCGGGGGGCAUGCCUGUCCGAGCGUCAUUACAACCCUCAAGCUCAGCUUGGUAUUGGGCCCCGCCGCUCCGGCGGGCCCUAAAGUCAGUGGCGGUGCCGUCCGGCUCCGAGCGUAGUAAUUCUUCUCGCUCUGGAGGUCCGGUCGUGUGCUCGCCAGCAACCCCCAAUUUUUUUCAGGUUGACCUCGGAUCAGGUAGGGAUACCCGCUGAACU
rnacentral:rRNA from 1 species